AUGGGAAAGGCGGUAUUAACCGUAUUAUAUGUACCUGCAAAGUGCAAUCCAAUUCCUUUUCAGCAGACACAAGAUUCACCAUAUAGUAGAGAGGAGAGAGAAGAAGCAGAGGCGAAGAAUCACGGCGCGAGGCCUAUCGUUCAGGUCAGUGAUUUGGAACUUAUCAACAAGUUGUGAAAUACACAGUUAAGGCAGAGGCAGAAACAUGGACAAGGAAAAAAACAAGCUUGUUGACAUUUAUGGAUCAAAAGCGAUACGUGUUGAGAGGACAGAUGAAUAUGGACGGAUUUUGAGUACGAAGGAAGCCUUUCGGUUGCUUUCCCAUAAAACUCCAUGGGACCUGGCAAAAUGAAACAAGAAAAGCGCAUGCCGGAAUACUAGGUGGAGCAGAAGGUAAAGCAAAUGAAGAAUGCUCUGAUACACCGUCGAUGUCUGUGGAGAGGACUCAAGCUUGAUUAUAGGCAUCAAAAUGACCUCAGAAGAAGCAUUAAUGCUUGAGGGCUUUUCUGUUCUAGCAGUACUUUUUUUUUCUUCUUCGUUCUAGUAGUACUUCAAUAGGAGGAAAAAGGAAAUAUAUGUGGUAUGUAUAUAUGCCUAUGCAAAGAUUCAAUUACAAAUAUGGAUGUCUUUUCACACCAACACAUUAUUUGGCCAUUGGAAAACAUGCAUCCAAAACGAUAUAUGGAAAUUGAUUUUACACAAA